CAGGCCGGGACUGACAGGAGCGCGUGCAGAGGUCAUCGUUGCUCCCGUGCACGACCCAACGGCUCCACUCGCGGUCCCCCACGUAGAGCAUCACCGUUCGCAGCGCGUUGUUGCCGUAAUUGAAGUACAGCCGCAUCCCGGCCAGCGCCAGCAGCCCUCCGUCCCCGCACUCCCACCGCUGCAGCCCUCCGUCCUCCCGGCACGGCCUCAACUCCACGACGGACAGAUUCCUCCCCGCCGCCGCCGUGACGCACCGCCGCCGCUCCGCGUUCCACAGCCGCUUCCCCGGCAGCCACUGGAAGCGUUGCGCGGCCGCUUCGGGACGGCACGGGGCCGCCGUCAGCUGCUGCCCCCGCGCCUCCACGCACAUAUUGUGAGCUCUGUUGUACAGCAGGAAGGAGCGGGACGCUGCGGGGGAGGCGACGGCUCCUGUCCCCCAUUCCUGCCCAGGCUGCCCGGACUCGAUGUUGCCAUACAUCGUCCUCUUUGUCACCACUGAGCUGUCCCCAUGUCUGUCCUCUUUGAUAAGAGCUGAGAAAAGGGGGGGGGGGACGGGGGACCAGAUGUGCCCCCCCACCCAGGGGGUGGGCCUCAAAGGGCCCCCCCGGCACCCACAGCUCCAUCCCCCCACCCCAGGGCUGGGCUGGAGGUGACGCUGACGGUGACGGUCCACAAUGCGGGGACAGGAAGGACUGGGGGACACCCAUAAUGGCAUCUGG
rnacentral:lncRNA from 1 species